rfam:Triticum aestivum genome assembly, contig: Triticum_aestivum_CS42_TGACv1_scaffold_320442_4BL
CAUCUACUCCCUCCGUUCCAAAUUACUUGUCACAAAUAUGGAUGUAUCUAGAUGUAUUUUAGUUCUAGAUACAUCCAUUUCUAAGACGAGUAAUUUGGAACGGAGGGAGUAUCUA